AGUAGAGCGCUCGGAGGCCUGUUGACCAGAAGUUGCCACCUCGGAUCAUUGCAUGCUGCACGUAGCUUGCUGGGACGUCAGAGUCCAGUGUGCUUACCAGGAAGCUGGCUUGGACAUAGUACCUGAAUAGCACAGCAACCAGAGUGGAUGAAGCAAGUGAAGGACACCAGGAAGCAGACAAGGAGCGAGAUGUACUUCACCGCAGCUGUUGCCUGGCUGGUGUCGCCGUAGACAAGCUGCGUCAUGAACACCUUGGUCGUGCUGCUCACCCAUGCCCCGAUGAGCGAGCCCAGCGCGAUGGACAGCGAGGCCAGGUUUGUGGACGCUGAGAUGCUGCUGGAGAUUACGCUCAGCGCCAGCGCCGUCUCCUCUGGUGUCGUCUGCAGCAACAGCCAAACGCAGCACAGUCAAGUUCAUCAGUCAAAAAACUAACAUGUUACCGACAAACACAACCGAAUGAUGGACGAGUCAAACAGAAAAUUCCUCGGAAAGUUGAAGAAGAUCAACAGUGCUGUUACCUGGGUCAUGCGCCGAACCCAUGCCAGCUUGUUGUGGUUCUCAUAGCCGAUGACGGUGGUGCCCGGAUGCCGGAGAAUCCGGUAGAGGAGGAGGAGGUGGUAGCCGAACAUGAUCACCAACCCACACGGCACCAGCACCAGGUCCAGGGAGCCCUUCUCCCGCAGCAUCUCCUCUCUAACCUCCCUCUUCGGUCCCUCUUCUGUUCUUCCCUUAUCUCAUUUCUGUUUCCAUAUGUGAUAUGAUCGUGCCCUGUGCUUGUGUGUUUUAUUUGGAUUUUGUGUUUGUGUGUGCGCCAGUGGCCGGAGUUAUCAGCCGGUUGCUUCUGGGUUUUGUGUUGGAUUGUCGCUUUGGGUGCAAGAUACGAGGGAAGGGGAAGCAAAUUGUGUGAGCUUUGCUUCGAAGAAAGGCAGUGAGAUAAUGGCUUCACGGGUUAUUAUUGGAUAUCUCGAGCUCUUCCAACCGAACCAGCCGUGGUGUUUCCCUGAAUUCUCAACUUUCUUCAAGGCUCAAGUUUAAUUUGUAGUUUAGGAGUACUCCCUUCCCAUGUUUCAACUUUGAUUAAAUUUGAAUCUAUACACUAAGUCAUGUCUAGAUACAUCCAAAUUUUGACAAACUUGAGACAUUCUUUGUUGGACGGAGGGAGUAGUAGAUUUUAAGCAAAGGUUUAUAUCCGUUAAAGGUACGGAAUAAACAAGUCUGUUACGUAUGCCUUCUGUGUUCGUAUAUAUGCAGAGUAUGUGUUUGCUUGCACUCAA